rnacentral:rRNA from 1 species
UGGCGGCGUGCUUACACAUGCAAGUUGCACGAGAACUCUUCUGUUUGCAGAAGAUAGUAAAGUGGCGCACGGGUGAGUAACGCGUGGGUAAUCUACCUCUGAAUUGGGGAUAACAUUGUGAAAGCGAUGCUAAUACCGAAUAAUAUCCCGAGAACUUAGGCUUUUGGGAUCAAAGGUGGCCUCUACAUGUAAGCUACUGUUUAGAGAUGAGCCCGCGUACCAUUAGCUUGUUGGUAGGGUAAUGGCCUACCAAGGCAACGAUGGUUAGCUGGUCUGAGAGGAUGAUCAGCCACACUGGAACUGACACACGGUCCAGACUCCUACGGGAGGCAGCAGUGAGGAAUUUUGUGUAAUGGGGGAAACCUUGACGCAGCAAUGCCGCGUGAGUGAUGAAGGCUUUCGAGUCGUAAAGCUCUGUCAAGUGAGAAGAACCUAUCCCGCGUUAAUAUCGCGGGGUACUGACGGUAUCAUUGAAGGAAGCACCGGCUAACUCCGUGCCAGCAGCCGCGGUAAUACG